UACGUAGGAGGCGAGCGUUAUCCGGAUUUACUGGGCGUAAAGAGGGCGUAGGCGGCCUUUCAAGUUGGAUGUGAAAUAUCCCAGCUCAACUGGGAGGAGUCAUUCAAUACUGUUAGGCUAGAGGGCAGCAGAGGGAGGUGGAAUUCCCGGUGUAGUGGUGAAAUGCGUAGAUAUCGGGAGGAACACCAGUGGCGAAGGCGGCCUCCUGGGCUGUUACUGACGCUGAGGCCCGAAAGCGUGGGGAGCAAACAGGAUUAGAUACCCCCGUA
rnacentral:rRNA from 1 species